UGAGGAUAUACCAAAUGUCACAAUGGUGG
rnacentral:piRNA from 1 species